rfam:Loxodonta africana unplaced genomic scaffold scaffold_69, whole genome shotgun sequence.
CCCUGGGUGGUGCAAAUGGUUAACACGCUCAGCUACUAACUGAAAGGUUGGAGGUUCAAGUCCACCCAGAGGUG